UACGGAGGAUCCGAGCGUUAUCCGGAUUUAUUGGGUUUAAAGGGAGCGUAGGCGGGUUGUUAAGUCAGUUGUGAAAGUUUGCGGCUCAACCGUAAAAUUGCAGUUGAUACUGGCAUCCUUGAGUACAGUAGAGGUAGGCGGAAUUCGUGGUGUAGCGGUGAAAUGCUUAGAUAUCACGAAGAACUCCGAUUGCGAAGGCAGCCUGCUGGACUGUAACUGACGCUGAUGCUCGAAAGCGUGGGUAUCAAACAGG
rnacentral:rRNA from 1 species